CUGAAAGUUGCGGCGCCAUAGGAUGAAUUUGCGGCCGAUUAGGUAGUUGUUGGGGUAACGGCCCAACAAGCCCGUAAUCGGUACGGGUUGUGGGAGCAAGAGCCCGGAGAUGGAAUCUGAGACACGAUUCCAGGCCCUACGGGGCGCAGCAGGCGCGAAAACUUUACAAUGCAGGAAACUGUGAUAAGGGAACCCCGAGUGCCCGUAAACGCGGGCUGUCCCGGUGUUUAAAACACAUCGGAAGAAAGGGCCGGGCAAGACCGGUGCCAGCCGCCGCGGUAAUACCGGCGGCUCGAGUGGUGACCACUUUUAUUGGGCUUAAAGCGUUCGUAGCUUGAUUUUUAAGUCUCUUGGGAAAUCUCACGGCUUAACUGUGAGGCGUCUAAGAGAUACUGGGAAUCUAGGGACCGGGAGAGGUAAGAGGUACUUCAGGGGUAGAAGUGAAAUUCUGUAAUCCUUGAGGGACCACCGAUGGCGAAGGCAUCUUACCAGAACGGCUUCGACAGUGAGGAACGAAAGCUGGGGGAGCGAACGGGAUUAGAUACCCCGGUAGUCCCAGCCGUAAACUAUGCGCGUUAGGUGUGCCUGUAACUACGAGUUACCGGGGUGCCGAAGUGAAAACGU
rnacentral:rRNA from 1 species